CACGCUCCCCCCCCCCAACUGUCUCCCCUCGAGCAGCUUUUCUCCCUGAGGAGGUGGGUGGACGACCCCGGAUCCGGGCCUAGAGUCUAGGCCUCAGCAGCCUGGGCCCGGCUCUCAGUGCUGACACUGAUGGUGGUCUCUCUGCGUCUCCUGGAGCAGGCAGCGACGGCUCAUUCUACCCUGUUCCAGAAGCUUCUCUUCGCUCGGGCCUCGGGCAGAAAGGCCCCUUUCGCCUCCCGUCAGUCUGGGGCCUCUGGGUCACUUCUCCUCGAAGGUGACGGUCUUUGACAGCAAAGGAGCGACGCUUUGUUUGCUCGGUGACCGAAUGUUCCGGAAGAGUUGGUGCUCCGUCUGCAGUGAGAGCCUGUGGAGUGUGUGUUUGGGGUAACGGGAAUCUCCACCUCCUGUUGGUCUCUCCUCCCGUCUUCGGCUGGCGGCCAGACACAAACAAUCCCAGAGAACAUUUUGUUCACAACCCUGCGCCUGCCACUCAACACCCGCGAACCAAUGGGCCUCCCGCGGGACCGAGCUGUGAAACUGCCCCACGGUGACCGGCAUUAACCCUUCGCUGGCAUAUACACAGACCCCAAACUGACCUGUCCGAACCGCUGCACGCAGGGUGCUGCUGCCGUUUGCUGCUCAGCUCUAAUUGCCCCUCAAACUGAGAGGCUUGCUUGGUUGGUUCACAGUCAACCACAUUGCUGUGGGUCUGGAGUCACAUGUAGGCCAGUUCAGGCCAGGAACCAAGUGAGGUUGAAGGAGGGAAUGUGUCAGUCCCUGAAAGGAGGGAGCAGUACAGACUGUGCGGGAAUCUUGGGCUCCUCGGCUACAGGCCAUUCCUGAGAAAAUGGCAAACCCAAGUUCUGGAAUACCUUGCUCCGAAGGAACCUGCCCUGCAGGCUAACUGCCUGGUGAAGAUUUUAACUGAAAGAGCCACACACUGGGAGCUGGGGGCUGCUCAAGGAGCUGGGACUUGGCUGAACAAUGAAUCCUUUGUCAACACAUUGGGCGAUGAAAGGGAACCUAUGAAAUCCUGAACAAUCUUCUGUGUUCGCAGGAAGACAAUGAGAUGAAACAGCCCAAACACUAUUAACCAGGAUUCGAUUUCACACUGUUCCUUUUAUCCAGGAGAUAUUUAGAACAAAUGUU